ensembl:lncRNA
CAUGAAAAUUAUGAUGUCACCAGAAGUAGUACUGUACAUGAGCACCGUCACUGCCACACAGUGCUCCUCUCACUGACCACCAAUGAAAGAGGUGCCCCUUCCAGAAGUGUGGUGGGGGCUGGAUACAUGGCCUCAGGGGGCCACAUGUGGCCCACGGGCUGUAGUUUAGGUACCCCUGCUGUAGAGCAUACUCAUACAUUAGCUGGUUGUGAUCUCUUUACCCUGUGGUGAAGAGGACACUUUGAUUGUUCAUGGAUCUAGGACUGGGUGCAUUCAGAAGAACUCCAUGGAUUAUGUACUCAUACAGUAGGUGUCUUUUAGUUUUAUUGGAGGAAAAGUUUCAAGAGGAGCAAAAAUCUCUCCAUGUAUUUGCUAAUAUGUUUGGAGGGGAUGGAUACUCACAAUGUCCUUUUGGAGAUUUGAAGAUACAAGAGAUUCCACCAGUUCUUAUACCAUAGAAUUAAGCCAUUCCAGAAUAUCCUAGAUAAUAUGUUUGGUGCCACCCAGCCACCAUAGGGUAGCUCUUAAAUGUGAUUAGAAGCUUUGUGAUUUCCCCCAAUAAAGACUGUGAGAACUGGAGCUUUCUUCUCUCC